UUCCAUUUUUACCACCCUCUACUACAAAAUGAAAAUGUAAUAUAGUAGGGUGGGGGAAGAUGGGACAC
rnacentral:miRNA from 1 species